GGGUUGAUGAUAAGAUCUCUUACUGUAUUGAAGAAAAAUGAUGACUUAAAAAUCAUGCUCAAUAGGAUUAUGCUGAGGUCC
ensembl:snoRNA SNORD115 Small nucleolar RNA SNORD115